rnacentral:rRNA from 1 species
AGGACGAACGCUGGCGGCGUGCUUAAUACAUGCAAGUCGAGGGACGAAACCGGAGUGGGUAACCACUCUGGCUGAAACCGGCGAACGGGUGAGUAACACGUGGGCAACGUGCCCCAGACUCAGGAACAACAACGGGAAACCGUUGCUAAUGCCUGAUAACCCCUGCGCACCGCAUGGCGUGCAGGGCAAAGCUCCGGCGGUCUGGGAUCGGCCCGCGUCCUAUCAGCUUGUUGGUGGGGUAAUGGCCUACCGAAGGCGAUGACGGUAGCUGGCGUGAGAGCGCGACCACGCCACA